UGGCGUAUGGUAGAGCGGUGAUACACCGGCCUUUUAAGCCGGCAUACGCGGGUUCGAAUCCCGCUGCGCCAA
rnacentral:tRNA from 1 species